GUGUCAAGUUUUCGACUUUUUCUCGCAAAACUAACAGAAGGGGUUUCAAUAUGAACAGAGGGGGGGAAAGGAAGCCCGCGGGGGCUCCCCUUCCUUCCUCACAGGUGCACGUGGUGUGGGUUCGUGGAUUGAAAAGGGGGAAUCCUAAGACCCCCCUCUAACCGGCAAUGAUCCUUCCGCAGGUUCACCUACGGAAA
rnacentral:misc_RNA from 1 species